CACAGGGCCCUCCUCCAUUCCCUACCUAUUAGUGAAGAUCCGUUCGGCAGAGUAGCUGACGACAUUAUAGUUGCAUGGCAUUUUGGUGACCCUAGAGAACCUCGGGCUAAUCGCACGUCCCCGUGACGCGACUUUGCAUUCGGAUGUCUGCCCUAUUAACUUUCGAUGACACUUUCUGCACCUAUCAUGGUGACCAUGGGUAACGGGGAAUCAGGGUUCGAUUCAGGAGAGGGAGCCUGAAAAACGGCUACCACAUCCAAGGAAGGCAGCAGGAGCGCAAAUUACCCACUCCCGACGCGGGGAGGUAGUGACG